CCCAGGGAUGAUGAACAAAACAUUUCAAUAAGGAACAAAGACUGCCAAAUGCAUCAUGUGACUCUAGUCAGUGGCCUCAUCCGCACAAUACAAUUAUAGCACUAUCAUAACACUUUAACCGUUGUGGCUUCUCCCAAAGAAUUCUGGGAAAUAUACUUUAUUAAGGUGCUGGGCACUCCUUCCUCCAAGCAGCCCCCCAUCUCUAGACCUUCCUUCUUGCCAAACCACUGUAACUGGAUAUUGCAGAAAAAUGGAUUCAGUUUGGUCCCACAAGGCUUGCACUCUUGUUUAAGAAGUCUUGCACUUCUCUGAACCUGGUAGGACUCUUAACAUAACGUAAGAAUAGAAGAUGUUCCUGCUGUAUCAGACCAAUGGCCCAUCUAGUCCAGCUUGCUGUUCUCACAGGGGUCAACCAGGUGCCUAUGGGAAGCCUGCAAGUUGGACUUGAGCUGGACAACAGCACUCUGCUCACCUGAAACUCCCAGCAACUGGGAUUCAGAUGUAUGUUGGCUCCCAAGGUAGGACAAGGGUAUCAUUGCUAGUAGCCACUGAUGGUCUUAUCCCCCAUGAAUUUGUCUAAUCCUUUUGGAAAGCCAUUCAAGUUGGUGGCCAUCACAGCCUCUUGAGGGAUCAAGUUCCAUAGUUUAACUAUCUGCCCUGAAUCUUCCAGCAUUCCGCUUCAUUGGAUGCCCAUGAGUUCUAAUGUUAUGAAAGAAGCAGAAAAACAUUUUCUCCAUGCAAUGCAUAAUUUCUGUCACAUCACCUUUUUCCUCUGAACCAAAAAGUCAAAAAUUCUGCAGCAUUUCCUCACAGAGAAAUUACUCCACCUUCUUGAUAGAUUUGUAUAAUGGUGUUUUUAUGAUAUCAGCAGUUUUAUUUUUAAUUCCUUUUCUAGGUAUCUUCUGUUGUGGAGGUGAGGGGUGGUGGUGAUUAACAAAAUCAAUCCUCCUGGCAAUAUCUGGGAAUAUCCCCUCACUCACGCAGUUUAGGACAUUCCAUACCUUUGCUCAGCAGAGUUUCUUGUUCACUGAGAAAAAUAAAGCUCACGUAUAUGUAAACUCAGCUUUAAUAAUAAAGAAAACUG